rnacentral:lncRNA from 1 species
UUAAUUAGAUUAAUUAAUAUUUUUUCACUGUAAAAUCAUGAUUUUGAAAAAAUUUUAAAAUUAUCAUUUUACCCCUGCAUUGAAUUUUUCCAUAUCUGAAUCAUUUGGUUGGUCAAAUUGAAACUAAUUAACCAAUUAGUAUCUAAGGUAAGUUUAGCAUUUCGAUCGAUAGUUUUUAAUUUUGAGCAACUUACCUAACCAUUUCGAUGGUGUCUAAGGCAAGCUUAGCAAACCCUUUCAUCGAUCUCACUUAUCUGACCAAUUUGAUGGAUUAUGUCUUGAUUAGACUGUUAAAUAAUUUAAGUUGACCCAU